rnacentral:sRNA from 1 species
AUUCCGGUAGGUAAGGCUACCGCAGGGAUAUGGGUUGCUGCCGCGUAACGGUGGAGACACCGUGAGCCGGUCAACAGGCUGCGUCGAAAAACAAGGCGCAAUCUAACGCAACUGCACCGCCCUGCGAAGCUAAAGCUCAGAUGGU